rnacentral:rRNA from 1 species
UGGCGGACGGGUGAGUAACGCGUGGGGAACCGUGCCUCAUACAGGGGAUAACAGUUGGAAACGACUGUUAAUACCGCAUAAGACCACAGAGUCGCAUGACUCAGGGGUAAAAACUCCGGUGGUAUGAGAUGGACCCGCGUUCGAUUAGCCAGUUGGCGGGGUAACGGCCCACCAAAGCGACGAUCGAUAGCCGAUUUGAGAGAAUGACCGGCCACAUUGGGACUGAGACACGGCCCAA